rnacentral:misc_RNA from 1 species
GACGACCUCUCGCCGGUAUCGCACGUCACCGCUCAAUCGGUGCCGACCUUCGUCGCUUGGGGCGAGUACGAGAACGCGCUCAUUGAUGUCUAUUGCGCCGAGCUCACGCAUCGCUUGGGAAUGGCCAAGCGACGCACGCCGCCGAUAGUCUGGCUCAAGGGCCAUAACCACACGUCGAUGAUCGGCC